rnacentral:rRNA from 1 species
UACGUAGGGACCAAGCGUUGUUCGGAUUUACUGGGCGUAAAGGGCGCGUAGGCGGCGCGGUAAGUCACUUGUGAAAUCUCUGAGCUUAACUCAGAACGGCCAAGUGAUACUGCAGUGCUAGAGUGUGGAAGGGGCAAUCGGAAUUCUUGGUGUAGCGGUGUAAUGCGUAGAUAUCAAGAGGAACACCUGAGGCGAAGGCGGGUUGCUAGGCUGACACUGACGCUGAGGCGCGAAAGCUAGGGUAGCAAACGGG